rnacentral:rRNA from 1 species
UGGGGAAUAUUGGACAAUGGGCGAAAGCAUGAUCCAGCCAUGCCGCGUGUGUGAAGAAGGUCUUCGGAUUGUAAAGCACUUUAAGUUGGGAGGAAGGGCAGUAAGCGAAUACCUUGCUGUUUUGACGUUACCGACAGAAUAAGCACCGGCUAACUCUGUGCCAGCAGCCGCGGUAAUACAGAGGGUGCAAGCGUUAAUCGGAAUUACUGGGCGUAAAGCGCGCGUAGGUGGUUCGUUAAGUUGAAUGUGAAAGCCCCGGGCUCAACCUGGGAACUGCAUCCAAAACUGGCGAGCUAGAGUAGGGCAGAGGGUGGUGGAAUUUACUGUGUAGCGGUGAAAUGCGUAGAUAUAGGAAGGAACACCAGUGGCGAAGGCGACCACCUGGGCUCAUACUGACACUGAGGUGCGAAAGCGUGGGGAGCAAACAGG